rnacentral:rRNA from 1 species
UACAGAGGGUGCAAGCGUUAAUCGGAUUUACUGGGCGUAAAGCGUGCGUAGGCGGUCAGAUAAGUCGGAUGUGAAAUCCCUGGGCUCAACCUGGGAACUGCAUUCGAUACUGUCUGACUAGAAUUCGGUAGAGGGUGGCGGAACUCCGGGUGUAGCGGUGAAAUGCGUAGAUAUCUGCAGGAACACCCGUGGCGAAAGCGGCGCGCUGGACCACUACUGACGCUGAGGAACGAAAGCUAGGGGAGCAAACAGG